CCUACGGGAGGCUGCAGUAGGGAAUCUUCCGCAAUGGACGAAAGUCUGACGGAGCAACGCCGCGUGAGCGAUGAAGGCCUUCGGGUCGUAAAGCUCUGUCCUAAGGGCAGAAUAUCGACGGUACGUCAGGAGGAAGCCCCGGCUAACUACGUGCAAGCAGCCGCGGGAAAACGUAGGGGGCUAGCGUUAUCCGGAAUUACUGGGCGUAAAGGGGGCGUAGGCGGCCCUUCAAGUGCGAGGUGAAAGGGUACGGCUCAACCGUAGUAAGUCUUUGAAACCGUAGGGGUUGAGGGCAGUCGAGGAGAGUGGAAUGCCCAGUGUAGCGGUGAAAUGGGUAGAGAUUGGGAGGAACACUAGUUGCGAAGGCGGCUCUCUGGGCUGUAACUGACGCUGGGGCACGAAAGCGUGGGGAGCGAACAGGAUUAGAUACCCCGGUAGUC
rnacentral:rRNA from 1 species